UGAAGUAACUGAAAAAGAAGAGGUCAAAGCCAAGGUUGAAAAGACAGACAGCAUCCAUGAAAAACAGCUGAAAGACUCUUACACUGGGAGAAACAAAGUAUAUACAGACCAAUGUACUGCAUUCAUAUCAAAUCUUAAUCUUAAGGCAAAUUGUGAAGAUUUGCACAAAUUCUUCAGUGAUGUUGGUGGGGUUAUUUCUAUUCGAAUACUGCAUGAUAAGUUUAGCGGAAAAUCCAGGGGACUGGCAUAUGUGGACUUUUCAGAUGAUGAACAUCUUGCUGCGGCCAUAUUAAAGAACAAGCAGAUGUUACUUGGGAAGAAGCUGAGCAUUGCACGGUCAGAUCCUAAACAAAACAAAAAAGGUGGUCAUAAUGUUUCAAAGCAACAUACACACACUACUGGCAUGAGUGGUAACGAUGGGGAAUCUGCAUCUAAAGUGUCGAAUGAAACUUCCAAGGGGUCGUCCAAGGCACCAGAGCUUCCAAACUCUGCUGCUCGUAAGCAAGAUGACAACAUCCAACUCAAGGGUAAGAGCACAUUUUUAGUACCAAGAAAUGUGAUGACAAACAAACAUAAAAGUGUUGAAGAGGGGGA
rnacentral:misc_RNA from 1 species